UUACGGAAGGCAGCAGUAAGGAAUUUUGCGCAAUGGACGAAAGUCUGACGCAGCAACGCCGCGUGAAUGAUGAAGGUCUUCGGAUUGUAAAAUUCUUUUGGACGGGAAGAAAGAUUUCUGCCCUAAUAUGGCAGAAGUGUGACGGUACCGUCUGAAUAAGGACCGGCUAACUACGUGCCAGCAGCCGCGGUAAUACGUAGGGUCCAAGCGUUGUUCGGAAUCACUGGGCGUAAAGGGAGCGUAGGCGGGAUCGUAAGUUAAGAGUACAAUACACCGGCUUAACCGGUGGCCUGCUUUUAACACUGCGAUUCUUGAGUUUGGAAGAGGGAGAUGGAAUUCCAGGUGUAGCGGUGGAAUGCGUAGAUAUCUGGAAGAACACCAGCAGCGAAGGCGGUCUCCUGGUCCUAUACUGACGCUGAGGCUCGAAAGCUAGGGGAGCAAACAGGAUUAGAUACCCUGGUAGU
rnacentral:rRNA from 1 species